rnacentral:rRNA from 1 species
AGAGUUAAACAGUACGUGAAAUUGUUGAAAGGGAAACGAUUGAAGUCAGUCGUACUGGCGGGAAAUCAACUUCUCGAGUGCUUGUCGUGGAUGACGUUGAGCUUCACGGCCUUCGUUGCUUACGUUAUGGUGCUUUUGAGGUGUACUUUUCCGUAUGGUAGGUCAACAUCGAUUUUGAUCGUCAUAAAAUGAUCGGAAGAAUGUGGCUCUGAUCUCGUAUCGGAGUGUUAAAGCCUUUGGUAGAUGUGACGAUUGAGAUCGAGGAUUGCAACGAAUACCCUUUGGGCUAUCCGUCUGACCUCUGAAAGUCACUCGGAUGUUGAAAGCGUGCUUAUAACAUUCUAGUUGGCGGUCAAAAGGUUAGAACGUGAUUACAUUCGUUAAGGAUGUUGACGUAAUGGCUUUAAACGACC